UAGUGGCCCAGCCAACAUUUGGGUCUGCUGCCGGCUGGGCGUCAGCUCUCCUGUGGUGCCUGUCAGAGCAGGGGCCCUGGAGGGGCCGGGGCAGCCUGGAAACGGAUUCAUUCACCGCCUGGCUUCCCUACAUCUGCCCAUGAUGCACUAGCUGCACGUCCCCAAUAGGGGUCAGUGCUGCCUCAGCUCCUGCGUUGCGGCAUCUUCCAGAGCCCAUGGCCCCGGGGUCUGCUGUGUUGGGUCCAGAGAGAGGUGCCGAGGAGGCUACCCCAAGCCCCAGGGAUGGCCAGUAACCACACACAACGUGUAUGGAACCCCUCCUGGGUGAUGGGCCCUUGUAUUCACCAUCUUGUUUCACCCUCCCGCGAACCCUGCCCAAGUGGGAAUGCCUACGAGCCCCUCCUCUGCAGGUGAGGAAACCAAGGUCCGAGGUAGCUGGAGGGGGAAAGCACCUGCCAGUCUGUCUCCAGAGUGUGUGUAUAUCCACUCUGCCCCCUUGGUGGCCCCGUCCUGAGGAAGAGGGAUUUGUCGCCUUAGUGGUUAGGGGAGCUGCUUCAGGGGCUGAGGUGGGGGAGCCGAAGAGGCAGGGCCCCACCCUGAUUCCAGCAAAAACAAUCCUCUCCCAGGUUGUGCCAUGAAAGGACCAUGCAAAAUUUCAUUUGAACAACAGUUACAAAAACCAAAGCAAACCAACCAGGUAGCACGGUGUUUCAGAAUGGGUGGUCUGAACUGAGAAUGUUCCGGUCCCAAGUCCCCACGUACCGUGUGACCUGGGGCGCUAAUAAUAGGCCCUGCCUCAUGGGGAUCCAUGAGGACUCCGCGAAGUCGAACAGGCAAAACCCUUAGCUCAAUGCUGGGCGCGUAGCUCUGUGUGGUGGGGUCGGCAAGGAAGGAUUUGACUUUACAAACGGGGUCUGUGGUGUUCGGGAAAAAACCCAUGACUUUAGGUAGUAGGGAGCCUUUAAAGGCUUUGAACAGAAUCACCUCCCUUGAGUUUGUGCUUGUGGAGAAGCUCCUAGCCCAACAGUCGCCAGACUCAGGAGACCCGUGCCCUCUGCCAGAGAACUUGAACUAGGAAGAGACGUCUGGUGGGGCAGGAGCAGGGGGAAGAGAAAGAGAAGUAACUGUUGUGGGUUUUCUCUGAAAGCAGAGCCUAGGAGGGGGGAGUGGACAAUAAUAAGAUUAUGAACUGUUACACACGUUUCCCGGAGCCGUAAAUCCUGGCUCGUUUUACCCAGUGUACCAAAGGGAUGAAGCUGACAGAGCGAGGAGUCAGACAGAAAGAAGACAAGCCACCUUCCAGGACUGACUGUGCAAAGAACUGAGGCCCAGCCCGGUCUGGUGAGGGACCUCUCAAACCUCUCACAAUGAGCCUAAAUUCUUUUCCCAACACCAUCCUGUUCCUGCUUGAACCACCCUUCUGGAAAUGCGGAGCUCACUCCCAUAUGGACAUCUGUGGAAACCACACAUUGAGAUGACAGAGGCAUGGGUUGAGAGAUGCCUGGAUCCCUGGGUCGCUGCACAGAGGAGAUCUGCCCGAAGAAUUGCCUGAUGGCUGCACUUUGUGCGCUUCCUGUGCGUUUCAACACGCAUCCCCUAGGGGCAGAGACCGUCGUCUAUCGCUUCUUCAAUCAACAAACGUUUAUUAGCGGCUGGUCAGUGGGGAAUGAGAUGGGUGACCAAGUUCCCGUACUUUCGGAAUCACAGUCCAGAAGCCACCUGUGGCUCUCGAGAACCUGAAGCACAGCCAGUCCAAACUGAGCUGGGCUGUCCGUGUAAAAUAGAAACCACAUUUCAAAGGCUUACUGUGCAAAUAAGAAGGGUUCUGGGAGGCUGAGAAGAAAUCUAAGAAGGCUUCAUAGAAGAAGUGACUUUGGUGUUGAGCACUGUAGGAUGAGUAGGAGUUUGCCAGAUGGCUAAGGAAGAAGGGCACCCCAGGCUCAGGGAAUACCCAUGCCAAAGCUAAGAGGUUGACAGGUGCACAGGGUCUUUUGAGGGCUUUGGGAAGUUUAUCGUGACCCAAACAUGAUUUGUUGGGAGAAGAAGCUAGAGACAGAGCCAAACUGGGUAGAACGUCGAAUGCCCGUCAAGUUUAGACUUGGGGGAGGGGCCGAGACCGAGGAAAGGUUCCUAGGCAGGAGGUGGCUGGUCGCAAUGCGAGUGACUUCACCUACCUCCCCUCCUCAAAAGUGUAAAAGAACCAGACCAGACCUUGUUUGAAUGUGCAAAGUAAACUAUUUUAUUUCAGUGCUCAGUCUUUGUGGCUCAAAAGCAUAUCUACUGCCUGCCUGGAACCCUAAAGUGUUUAUAAAACCAAAGAGAAUUAGAGGCACAUUUGUGAGAACAUAGA